GACAGAGGUGCCGAGCGUUAGGCGGAAUCACUGGGCUUAAAGCGUGUGUAGGCGGAUGGGUAAGUACCUUGUGAAAUCCCACGGCUCAACCGUGGAACUGCUCGGUAUACUGCUCGUCUUGAGCCAACUAGGGGCGACCGGAACAAACGGUGGAGCGGUGAAAUGCGUAGAUAUCGUUUGGAACGUCGAUGGUGAAAACAGGUCGCUGGGGUUGUGCUGACGCUGAGACACGAAAGCCGGGGGAGCGAACGGG
rnacentral:rRNA from 1 species